CCAACGGCUGCAGUUGCAGCCACUAGUAUAAAGUAAAUUAUUUUUU
rfam:Bacteroidetes bacterium 46-16 SCNpilot_cont_1000_p_scaffold_348, whole genome shotgun sequence.